rnacentral:rRNA from 1 species
CCUACGGGGGGCAGCAGUAGGGAAUCUUCCACAAUGGACGAAAGUCUGAUGCAGCAACGCCGCGUGAGUGAAGAAGGGUUUCGGCACGUAAAGCUCUGUUGGUAGUGAAGAAAGAUAGAGGUAGUAACUGGCCUUUAUUUGACGGUAAUUACUUAGAAAGUCACGGCUAACUACGUGCCAGCAGCCGCGGUAAAACGUAGGUGGCAAGCGUUGUCCGGAUUUAUUGGGCGUAAAGCGAGUGCAGGCGGUUCAAUAAGUCUGAUGUGAAAGCCUUCGGCUCAACCGGAGAAUUGCAUCAGAAACUGUUGGACUGGAGUGCAGAAGAGGAGAGUGGAACUCCAUGUGUAGCGGUGGAAUGCGUAGAUAUCUGGAGGAACAUCAGUGGCGAAGGCGACUAUCUGGCACAUAACUGACGCUGAGGAGCGAAAGCGUGGGUAGCAAACAGGAUUAGAUACCCGAGUAGUC